rnacentral:rRNA from 1 species
AUGGGAACGCGAAGAACCUUACCUAGACUUGACAUCUUCUGCAUUAAUCGUAAUGGAUGAAAUCCCUUCGGGGACAGAAUGACAGGUGGUGCAUGGUUGUCGUCAGCUCGUGUCGUGAGAUGUUGGGUUAAGUCCCGCAACGAGCGCAACCCCUAUUAUUAGUUGCUAACAUUAAGUUGAGCACUCUAGUGAGACUGCCCGGGUUAACCGGGUAGGAAGGUGGGGAGUGACGUCAAAUCAUCAUGCCCCUUAUGUCUAGGGCUACACACGUGCUACAAUGGUGGGAACAAAGAGAUGCAAGACCGCGAGGUGGAGCUAAACUCAAAACCCCAUCCCAGUUCGGAUUGUAGGCUGAAACUCGCCUACAUGAAGCUGGAGUUGCUAGUAAUCGCGAAUACAGAAUGUCGCGGUGAAUACGUUCCCGGGUCUUGUACACACCG